CCUCGCCGCGGGCGCCCUCAGAGCUGCCGGGCUGAGACGCGGGAGAAACCCUAAGUUGACCCGAGCAGACAGCCUCCUGCUACCUUGAAGGAGAAGAAGUCUCCAAGGGUUGACAGAGCGGCAGAACAGGGGCUGGAACUCAGCUCGCUGGCCCGCCACCAGGCUCCUUUCCCUUCACCAAGUUUGCGGCCGGGAGGAGAGGCUACAGCACAACUGAAGAGGGAGAAACCAUCUUGCCUCCAUGAUUGGACAAACAUGGAGAUAAAAGCUUCCCUGUGUGGAUGAUAGAGCAAAAUGUUAGAAGGGGCUCAGACUCCCUUCCUUCAGACUUCUUGAUAUGUGAGGAAAAUAAAAUGCUAUUAUAAGGUUAA